rnacentral:tRNA from 1 species
UGGGGUAUCGCCAAGUGGUAAGGCAACGGUUUUUGGUACCGUUACUCGAAGGUUCGAAUCCUUCUACCCCAUCCA